AACGAACGCUGGCGGCGCGCCUAAUACAUGCAAGUCGAGCGAGAAGACGUAGCAAUACGUUUGUAAAGCGGCGAACGGGUGAGGAAUACAUGGGUAACCUACCCUCGAGUGGGGAAUAACUAGCCGAAAGGUUAGCUAAUACCGCGUACGCUCCUUGGACUUCGGUUCAGGGAGGAAAGCGAUACCGUGGGUAUCGCGCUCUUGGAUGGGCUCAUGUCCUAUCAGCUUGUUGGNGAGGUAACGGCUCACCAAGGCUUCGACGGGUAGCUGGUCUGAGAGGACGAUCAGCCACACUGGCACUGCGACACGGGCCAGACUCCUACGGGAGGCAGCAGUAAGGAAUAUUGCGCAAUGGGCGAAAGCCUGACGCAGCGACGCCGCGGUGGGGGAUGAAGGUCUUCGGAUUGUAAA
rnacentral:rRNA from 1 species